rnacentral:rRNA from 1 species
GACGAACGCUGGCGGCAUGCCUAACACAUGCAAGUCGAGCGAGCAGAUCCCUUCGGGGUGAAGCUAGCGGCGGACGGGUGAGUAACACGUGGGCAACCUGCCUCAUAGAGGGGAAUAGCCUUCCGAAAGGAAGAUUAAUACCGCAUAAGAUUGUAGCUUCGCAUGAAGCAGCAAUUAAAGGAGCAAUCCGCUAUGAGAUGGGCCCGCGGGGCAUUAGCUAGUUGGUGAGGUAACGGCGCACCAAGGCGACGAUGCGUAGCCGACCUGAGAGGGUGAUCGGCCACAUUGGGACUGAGACACGGCCCAGACUCCUACGGGAGGCAGCAGUGGGGAAUAUUGCACAAUGGGGGAAACCCUGAUGCAGCAAUGCCGCGUGAGUGAUGACGGCCUUCGGGUUGCAAAGCUCUGUCUUCGGGGACGAUAAUGACGGUACCCGAGGAGGAAGCCACGGCUAACUACGUGCCAGCCGCCGCGGUAA